CUACGGAUCCCUUCAGCAAAAGAGGAACGUAACCCGUAUUUGCCAGUGUGUCUGAACUUCUCUUUUUCAGCGUUCACGCUCCUGAAUGCGCCUGAUUUCAUUCUGCAAGGGAAGGCUCUUUUUCGAAGGCGCAGCUUUCGACGAGCCGCUUUUUUUAACAGGCGUGAAACGUGGUUCGGAGAAAAGCGGGGAAAUCGGACCUGAGCAAUGUCUAUAUUUUGCCUAUGAUAACCUUAGUUCUUCCGAACUCCACCCUGACCUCCCUCUUUAUAUCCAGGCCUACGGAUGACUCUCGAAAAGGACAAAAACUUCAACAGGCUGCAGUUCUCUAUGCGCCUCAUAUUAAAAAUCUCCAGAAAAAGACCAGAAUUGUCAAUUGUACUGAACACACGCAUACGGGGGGAGCAAGCGAAUCUAACUCUGGCCUGCCGAGUAGGUCGUUCCGGACAGAAUCAGGAUUAAAAGAAGGUUUGGGGGACUGCAGGAAAUAGGGAUGAACGGAGAAGUACAAAAGGAAGCAAUCCGGCAGACGGAGGCAGCUCCCCCCCCCCCCAGGUUCCUGCAUUUGAACCAAAGGCGCUUGGAGUCCGAAGGCAAGAGGCGGUGGAGAUGUUAACUGUUAAGAAGACACCUUCAGGAUCUGCCCUUAGAAUAAAAUCCCAUUGAUACAAAUGGCAUUAUUUACUUCUAGGUGGCACGGGAUCGGGUCCGCAGAGUUACCCAAAAAGUAUUUUUUUUAAAAAAAGUCAACAUCACUUUGGAAGCUUAGGAGGAUCGUCGCCUCAUACCCGGACCCUGGAGGGAAGGAAACCCCAUUGAAUUCAAUGGAUCUGACUUCCCAGCAAGAUACUUGCUUGGGGGCACGCUUCCCUCAAACCCAGCGGCCUUGUCAUCCCAUCCCAUCCCCACCCCACCCCACCCCUAAACCCCUCGCCGAGAGCCAACGCUUGACCCCAUCCCUCCCGAACAUGGCACGGCGGUCAGAGUCCCCCCAUCCUGACCGAAGCGCAUUAGUGGGAAGCCAGCCUCGCUGAUCUCGUCCGGAGAAUUGGCUCCCACCUAGCCUGUUCAAGGCCAGGGUCCCAAAUGUCAGUUGGUGAGUGCGCGGGAGGCAGUAAAUAAAUUAGGAGCCUCAAGGAAGGAGCGAGCGUGUCCGAGGAAAGACAACCAGGCUGCGAGCAGAGACGUCGUACCUGCUACGACCUUUCUCAUCACCCCCUCCUUCCUUCCUCCUCUCCUCCCUUCCGCGGCUGUU